rnacentral:rRNA from 1 species
CAGUCGCCGCGGUAAUACGAAGGGUGCAAGCGUUACUCGGAAUUACUGGGCGUAAAGCGUGCGUAGGUGGUGGUUUAAGUCCGUUGUGAAAGCCCUGGGCUCAACCUGGGAAUUGCAGUGGAUACUGGGUCACUAGAGUGUGGUAGAGGAUAGUGGAAUUUCCGGUGUAGCAGUGAAAUGCGUAGAGAUCGGAAGGAACAUCUGUGGCGAAGGCGACUAUCUGGGCCAACACUGACACUGAGGCACGAAAACGUGGGGAGCAAACAGGAUUAGAUACCCCCGUAGUCCCUGUCUCUUAUAC